rnacentral:rRNA from 1 species
GUCCACGCCCUAAACGAUGUCAACUAGGUGUUGGGAGGGUAAAACCUUUUAGUACCGGAGCUAACGCGUGAAGUUGACCGCCUGGGGAGUACGGCCGCAAGGUUAAAACUCAAAGGAAUUGACGGGGACCCGCACAAGCGGUGGAUGAUGUGGAUUAAUUCGAUGCAACGCGAAAACCUUACCUACCCUUGACAUGUCCGGAAGCCCUUAGAGAUUUGGGUGUGCUCGAAAGAGAGCCGGAACACAGGUGCUGCAUGGCUGUCGU